GCCAAGCAAACCAAGGUCUAUAAAUAUAAAGGGAUAAUGACCAAGAGAGGUAUGUCAUUCUAUCAUAACCCUAGACCUUAACACUUCUCCCUACGUCUAACUUGAUCGUUGGAGAGUCACUGGGCAACUAUCGCCCUAGUGACUUGUUGCAGGUCCGGCGGAGGGAGCACCGAGCUGCGGAGGAAGGAUCCUGACUCGAACCACGGUCAAGAUCCCGCCAAAUCGAACCCCCACAUGUUCUAAACUUCCCCCAGCCCUGUAUUAAAGUCAAGGCACUUUGUUAGCAGUGGAAGUUUGUUGAAGCCGUUUUAGCAGUUGAAGUUUGUUGAAGCCAAAAUGCCCACAACCAUGCAUGAUAUAUACAUUGGUCAAUUUUCAAUAGACAAGUCGCAUGCGCUUCGUUAAAUUAGGUGGGUCAUGUCUUGGAAGAUUCUUUCUUAGUAUGCUGCCUGUUAACAUGUUCUGCACUGAAUUCUCUUUGUUUUUUGUCCAAUGGGUUACUAUAGUCAAGGAAAAUUUCAUGUUUUAACUUCAUUUUCUACAGGAUGAUCCUCGAAAUGGAUGGCAAUGUUAUUGCUGGAAAAGUGGCAACCCACAGCGUGGAUGACGGUGCACCCCUGUCUGAGCAGACUAUAAGUCAAGCUUUGGCUACCGCACGUGACCACUUGGCAAGAGCUCUUCUGAGAUGAAAAAUCUGAGGGUACGUAA